AACAGACUCCCCCUUGGAUGUUGACGAAGUCUUCGGUACGAGUCUUCAGUUCGUCGAAUCUUCAGACUUGAUCAGUCUUCAUGCUCUUUUCAAAGUAUCUGACACUAUCUCUUGAUUCCUUAAGUUCUUCAGCAUCAGUAGCUAGCGUGCACAACAGGAUUCGAACUUGGCUCUAAGUUCUUAAGCAAUCAGCAACUUCUAUCUCGAGCUUUGUUCCAGAAUCUGAACCUGGCUCUCUAACAUUCAAACUCCCCCUUGAAUGUUGAUCCAGAAUCUGUAUCUGGCUCUUAUGUCUUCAGACUCCCCGUUUCGAUAAGCUGGGAUCGCAGUCUGGAAUAGCUCUCAUUCUAGGAUUGUAACCUGGCUCAAACUCUGCUCAGGCUUAGACUCACUUUGCAGCUUUCACAGGUUCACGACCGUUGCCUGGCUCUCAGAAACCUUGCUCUAAUAUGCAUAUCCUCAUGCUGAAAGUCCACAGGAAUCGGAACCUGGCUUUUACAAAGCUGUACCUGCACAAACUCUUCCAAAACAUAAGAUAUUGUUUAACAAUUUUAAUUUCUGCUAACCACUUGUUAGAUCAAUCUCAAAACAUCACUUGUUUGAUUA